UUCCAUCAAGCUGGAAGUUCUUCAGAACAUUUCCAAUUACAUUCCAAUGGCUAGAACGUCAGAUGGAACUACCAGGGAAUGUUCACAGAAGGAUCAACAGGAGAAACUGACAUCUUAA